UACGUAGGGUGCAAGCGUUGUCCGGAAUUACUGGGCGUAAAGAGCUCGUAGGUGGUUUGUCGCGUUGUUCGUGAAAACCGGGGGCUUAACCCUCGGCGUGCGGGCGAUACGGGCAGACUUGAGUACUGCAGGGGAGACUGGAAUUCCUGGGGUAGCGGUGGAAUGCGCAGAUAUCAGGAGGAACACCGGUGGCGAAGGCGGGUCUCUGGGCAGUAACUGACGCUGAGGAGCGAAAGCGUGGGGAGCGAACAGG
rnacentral:rRNA from 1 species